rnacentral:rRNA from 1 species
CCUACGGGAGGCUGCAGUGGGGGAUAUUGCACAAUGGGGGAAACCCUGAUGCAGCGACGCCGCGUGGGUGAAGAAGUAUUUCGGUAUGUAAAGCCCUAUCAGCAGGGAAGAAAGAAGACGGUACCUGACUAAGAAGCCCCGGCUAACUACGUGCCAGCAGCCGCGGUAAUACGUAGGGGGCGAGCGUUAUCCGGAUUCACUGGGUGUAAAGGGAGCGUAGACGGCCGUGCAAGCCAGGAGUGAAAGCCCGGGGCCCAACCCCGGGACUGCUGUUGGAACUGUGCGGCUGGAGUGCGGGAGGGGCAGGCGGAAUUCCUGGUGUAGCGGUGAAAUGCGUAGAUAUCAGGAGGAACACCGGCGGCGAAGGCGGCCUGCUGGACCGCGACUGACGUUGAGGCUCGAAAGCGUGGGGAGCGAACAGUAUUAGAUACCCUUGUAGUC